ensembl:lncRNA
CCCCACGAUGACUGGCUUUAAUGCAGGUUUGUGUUACACCUGCAGUUCAUGAUUGGACUUCAUUUUUAGUACCUGCAUUUAGCUACUGUACAGCACUCCUGAGGGAAAGAAAAUCUACCCCAAUAAUACAUACCCGAAUAAUGCAUUCCCAACAAAUGCUGUUAGUGUAAAGUGCUGUGUUUAUUGAAUAACUUAGCACAAAGGCAGAGCAGAUCAGUGCUAGCUACAAAAAUGUACAGCUCUGUGAAUUAUAUGCUACACUAAGCAGCAAGAUGUGUUGCAUCUCUAUGCCAUCAUUCUGUCUUAAAUGUUACAAUCUGCCAAUUGUACUACAGUUAGAAAUUGGGGGAAAAAAAAAUCAGAUAUAGCACAAGGUCUCAUGGUUGUAUUUAACCAACCUUAAAAAUCAGAUGUAUUUACAAUUAAAAAUCAGGCAAAAGUAUUUCUCAAGUUUAAGAUUUAGUGGGCUCUUAAAAUAUGCUAACAACAAUAAAUUCUAGUCCUAAGGUUCAAAAUACGCUUCAUUUUAUUCAGGAAUCGCGUUGUGACUCAUGCUCAUCAUUGAGUUGUAAAUGGGAUGGAUAUGAACUCCUGAAAAGCCCACCAUGGUGUGACAAAAUGCACAUGCAUCAUUGUUAGAUGUUAGAUAAGCUUUCUAAGACCUGCAUAAUCCAUGAGAUGAGAAUUCUUUUUUUUUUAAUUGUAAUGUGAAUCUUUGUAAUUGGAAUCAAAUCCAGGUCCUAUGCCAUCACUGAUAUCUUUAAUGCUCUCAGUUUUUUAAUUCCUAUCUGUAUGAUUUCAGACUGAAAAACGUCACAUGGCAAUUCAGUGUUAGUUGUAAACAGAUUAGGGUAACCUGGAACAAUUUAUUGAAAGUUAUAUCGAGGUUGGAAUAUAUUCCCUUUAUUUUGCAUGUCAUAUAAUGGGAAGAAUAAAUAAAAUUACAUUUAUCAUUUUGCACCCAAGUGACUUCUGCAAAUGAAAAUGCGCUCACAGAAUGACAUGGCAUGGUUUUACUCCUUAUGUCUAAGGAAGUAGUUACACAUUCCUCUAUUUGCACCUUCUCUCUGACUGUCAACUGCAGACCCAGAAAUGCAGGCUCUAAUUAUUGUUAUUGUGCAAAAGAGACUGCUGAGCAAAAGAAUGCAAGUUUAAAUAAUGGAAAUAAUCUGCAUCCAUCUUUUGUCCUUUUGUAUGUCAUUUAUUUCAGGUUCUCAUCUUGACAGAGUAGAAAGAGCUUAAUAUUAGUUAAUGUUAAUGCACUUUGUUAUGCUGUAGUUCAGUGCAUACAUCAAAAGGUCAAUAAUAAAGCCUGAAGGUUCUGGUCAAUAAUGUGCUGCAAACAACAGUUACAUCUCCCUGACUGUCUUUUUACUUGCAUAUAAUUUGUGUUUGUUUCCGGAAGGUGAGAUGUGGGUUUAAUAACAUCCGUGGACAACCCAUGCAAAAUAAGAAACAGCAGAAAGGAUCAUACUUUGAGGAGCAAAAUAUUUGGGUGAAUUUCCCCUUGUAUAUUUGGAGAAGCUCAGGACUUGGAAUUCUCUGAAACAUAAACUGGCUCUUCUUCCUCUCCCCAGAGAACCCGUGAUGUCAUCCUAUGACUUCAGAAGCUGAUGUUGGUGGUAUGGCAGUAGAGGCUGAACCUUCCCACUGGUAUUCCAUUACGUGUUGAUGCUGCAUGACAGAUGGCUGCAGAGGGGCAGUCUGACAGAGUGGCAUCUGACAUGGAAGUGCAUAUCAAGCAAAAGUGUGACAUUGAAUUCCUCUAUGUGAAAAACAUUGCAACCAGUAACAUUCAUCUACACUUGCCGAGUGUUGAUGGAGACCGUGAAUGUGAGUGCAAUGUGAGGUGGUGGGUGGUGCACUUCAGCAGUGGCAACAGUGACAGUGGGUCACCUUCCCUGGUGCAGAUUCUUACAAACACAGCAUGCAGGCUCUUGUUCAUUACUGACAAAAAUGCAUAGAUAAUAGUGGUGUCUAUGUUGUGGAGUAGUGCUUUGUAGCUGAGAAUUUGGUCUAUCAAAUAGUGUUGUGGUGCUCUUAGUAUCCAUUGUAGUUUCUGUGGAAAUAAAAAGGAGGCAUUACUCUU